GAUGCAGCCAUGCCGCGUGUGUGAAGAAGGCCUUCGGGUUGUAAAGCACUUUCAGCGAGGAGGAAAGGUUGUCGGUUAAUACCCGACAGCUGUGACGUUACUCGCAGAAGAAGCACCGGCUAACUCCGUGCCAGCAGCCGCGGUAAUACGGAGGGUGCGAGCGUUAAUCGGAAUUACUGGGCGUAAAGCGCAUGCAGGCGGCCAAGUCAGUCAGAUGUGAAAGCCCCGGGCUCAACCUGGGAAUUGCAUUUGAUACUGCUUGGCUAGAGUCCUUGAGAGGGGGGUAGAAUUUCAGGUGUAGCGGUGAAAUGCGUAGAGAUCUGAAGGAAUACCAGUGGCGAAGGCGGCCCCCUGGCAAGAGACUGACGCUCAGAUGCGAAAGCGUGGGGAGCAAACAGGAUUAGAUACCCUGGUAGUCCACGCCGUAAACGAUGUCUAUUAGGAGUCUGUGGCCUUGAGCUGUGGGUUCCAAAGCUAACGCAUUAAAUAGACCG
rnacentral:rRNA from 1 species